rnacentral:tRNA from 1 species
GUGGUCGAAUUGGUACGACGCCUGCCCGGUAUGUAGGAAGUUCCAGGUUCGAACCCUGGC